UAGGUGUAGGGGGUGUCAUGCCUUUCUGUGCCGCAGUAACGCAAUAAGCACUCCGCCUGGGGAGUACGGUCGCAAGACUAAAACUCAAAGGAAUUGACGGGGGCCCGCACAAGCAGCGGAGCAUGUGGUUUAAUUCGAAGCAACGCGAAGAACCUUACCAGGACUUGACAUCCAAAGAAUCACUGAGAGAUCAGAGAGUGCCCUUCGGGGAAACUUUGAGACAGGUGGUGCAUGGUUGUCGUCAGCUCGUGUCGUGAGAUGUUGGGUUAAGUCCCGCAACGAGCGCAACCCUUGUCAUUAGUUGCUACCAGUAAGAUGAGCACUCUAAUGAGACUGCCGGGGACAACUCGGAGGAAGGUGGGGAUGACGUCAAAUCAUCAUGCCCUUUAUGUCCUGGGCUACACACGUGCUACAAUGGCUGAAACAAUGAGAUGCGAGACCGCAAGGUGGAGCAAAUCUAUAAAUACAGUCUCAGUUCGGAUUGAGGGCUGCAACCCGCCCUCAUGAAGCUGGAGUUGCUAGUAAUCGCGAAUCAGCAUGUCGCGGUGAAUACGUUCCCGGGCCUUGUACACACCGCCCGUCACACCAUGAGAGUCUGCAACACCCGAAGCCUGUGAGCCAACCAGCAAUGGAGGCAGCAGUCGAAGGUGGGGCCGAUGAUUGGGGUGAAGUCGUAACAAGGUAGCCGUA
rnacentral:rRNA from 1 species